UGCACGAGCGGGGCGCGCAGCACGGGGGCGCGCAUGGAGGCGGUCCGGGGCUGCCUCAGUCUGCUGUGAUCGCUCCUCUGCUGCUGCUACCUCCAGUUAAAGAGCUAGGACACGGGAGCGAGCAGACGGCCGUGAGAGGAUAUACUUUUUUCGGUACCUUGGGAUUAACGACGCGGAAUUGCAGCAUCGACGGCCAGCCGCCAGGGCCCACGAUGUCCAGCGAAGUGCAGAGACCAGACGACAGCCCCAGCACCAGCGGGGGAAGCUCGGAUAUCGAACAAAGGGAAACGGUACCACCUGAGCAGGAGCGAGAGCAAGCACAGCCCAAAAAGAAGGAGACCAAGAUCUCGAGUAAAACUGCUGCUAAACUUUCAACUAGUGCCAAGAGGAUUCAGAAAGAGCUUGCAGAAAUAACACUAGACCCACCUCCAAACUGCAGCGCUGGCCCCAAAGGAGACAACAUCUACGAGUGGAGGUCGACCAUCCUGGGACCCCCGGGCUCCGUGUACGAGGGCGGCGUCUUCUUCCUGGACAUCGCCUUCACGCCAGACUACCCAUUCAAACCCCCCAAGGUAACAUUUCGUACGAGGAUCUAUCACUGCAACAUCAACAGUCAGGGUGUGAUCUGUCUGGACAUCCUGAAGGACAACUGGAGCCCAGCGCUCACCAUCUCCAAGGUGCUGCUGUCCAUCUGCUCCCUGCUCACAGACUGUAACCCAGGUAAGACUGAGUGUCUCGAUGAAGCUCAGAAGUUUCAGCACCUUUACAUGAUCAGAGAUGUUUGGAAACAACAGGCUGAUGAGUUGUUGACUGUCUGAUGUGGGCUUUACAAGAACUAAGUUAGAUUUUGUGUGUUCAGCCAACUGCAACAAUCAAGUUUGACUCUGUCAUCAGAGUCGUUUAUUAAAAUACACAAACUGUUAAUGUACUUUUCUUGUUUUGUUUUUAUGGAUCUCUUCAUAUAUCACUGUCAGAGAUCCUAGAAAAGUCUAUCUUAGGAAUGAUUUAGGAACCUUCUUAGAGCAUCUCUCUGAUCACUGAAGGACAGAAAUGUUUAUCUUAGUGACUCCUUUUUAAAAGCUGUGACUGGUUGAUCAGUAAAGAAAUGAAAAUGCACUCUGUGUGCUAAUGAGCAUAGAAUGGUCAAUGAAACUGUUAGACCUAAUGAUCGAAUUUAGUCUCUAUUUAAACACGAUUGUAAUUAUGAAAAUUAUUUUGUGUAAUAAUGAUGUUAAAUUGUAAGUUAUAUUUCUCAAGAUGGCCAGAUCAAGAUGUUAGAAAAACUGUGGACUUGUGUCUUCGACAUGCAUCAUAUUUAUUUGCUUGCAUGUAUUCACGGUGCUGUUAGCUUUAGUCGGCCUGUCAGUCUGUUAUAUUAUUAUUAACAAGCGUGAAACCAUUUCAAGAGGAAUAUUCAGUCUGGGUGUCAGCAGGCCUGGGAGAACAUUCGCCUCAUUCCCUGUGGUUGUGUGAAAAGAGGUGGUGGAAAAGGGCUUCCAAAAGUGGUGUAAGCCCUUUCAUUUCUGGCAUUAUAGCUUCAAUACAUGAUGUGGGACAUGUGAGCACAUCUCUAAUGGAUCCACAAACAUGUCUGCCCAAUCUGCACAACUGUAGUGUUUCAUUAACUCACUGUUACCUUUUGGUUUUGCCUCCUCCGCUGCUUAAGAAACUCCUGAGACUCUUAAAAGUCCUCCUCCCUAUUCCUUACAGUUUUUCACCUUAUAAGCGCUCCUGAGGGUAAUACGCUGUCUCAAUAACAUCAUAAUUCUAAUUCUGAGGUUCUGACGUCACCAGGAAGCUUUAUGAAUGCAGGCUGAGCUACAUGUACGUAAGGAGAGACAGGAGGAGGAAAAACAAAUCAUACUACUUCACUUCGUUUACAGAAAUCCGAUCCUCUGGUGGGAAGCAUCGCCACCCAGUACACGACUAACAGAGCGGAACAUGACCGAACAGCCAAACAGUGGACGAAGCGAUACGCCACAUAAACCCACAGAGGACGGCAGUGGGAGGAAGAGGAGGAGGAGGAGCAGGAGCAGGAGCAGGGGUGGGGGGGCUCUGGGUGGUUUGUGUUGGGGGGUUAUUUGUAUCUCAGAUUUUUAGUACUUUAUUGUCUGGUAUAUUUUUUGCUUCCUGAUUAAGUUAUCUCCGCAAAUAUGGUAAUAAAGGAACACAAUGGAAAGGAA